AUGCUACUUCCUCCGUUUCGAAUUAAUUGUCGCGGGUAUGAAUGUAUCUAGAUGCAUUUUAGUUCUAGAUAUAUUCAUUUCUGCGAUGAGUAAUUUGGAACGAAGGGAGUAUGUU
rnacentral:pre_miRNA from 1 species